rnacentral:rRNA from 1 species
UACGUAGGGUGCAAGCGUUGUCCGGAAUUAUUGGGCGUAAAGAGCUCGUAGGCGGUCUGUUACGUCGGCUGUGAAAACCUGGGGCCCAACCCCGGGCCUGCAACCGAUACGGGCAGACUAGAAUUCGGUAGGGGAGACUGGAAUCCUGGUGUAGCGGUGAAAAUGCGCAGAUAUCAGGAGGAACACCGGUGGCGAAGGCGCAUCCUGGACCGGCACUGACG